rnacentral:lncRNA from 1 species
UAAGUGCAGUUGGCUAAAAGUUAUGAUUGGUAUCCAAGAUUUUGAUGGCUUAAUAGAGCCAGCGUUCUACCCUGUGGCUGGAGGUCAUGUUGGGCUGCGUCAUGUUCAAAAUGACGGAAGGCCAGAUUGGACCGAAUCAUGUUCGAAGAGGCAUGAGACUAGUUGAGCGGAGUCACAAUCAAGACCUAUUGGCGUUGUGUCUGCUUUAAGUAAAUUGAUUGCGUAUUUCUAACAGCUCGAGUUUUCGAGAUUAAUAGUUAACGUCAACGAUCUGACAAUUUUAAGUUCGAAUUCUAAUUGCUUCAUAUUUUCUAUCUUAUUUUAUUUCUAAUAAAACUUGU